CAUAUCCUACGGGGGGCAGCAGUGGGGGAUAUUGCACAAUGGGGGGAACCCUGAUGCAGCGACGCCGCGUGGGUGAAGAAGCGCCUCGGCGCGUAAAGCCCUGUCAGCAGGGAAGAAAAUGACGGUACCUGAAGAAGAAGCCCCGGCUAACUACGUGCCAGCAGCCGCGGUAAUACGUAGGGGGCAAGCGUUAUCCGGAUUUACUGGGUGUAAAGGGGGCGCAAAAAAAAAAACAACAAAAAAGUGAAAGCCCGGAGCCCAACCCCGGGACUGCUCUUGGAACUGCGUGGCUGGAGUGCAGGAGG
rnacentral:rRNA from 1 species